GACGAACGCUGGCGGCGUGCCUAAUACAUGCAAGUAGAACGCAGUUGCGAACGGGUGAGUAACGCGUAGGUAACUGCCUGGUAGCGGGGGAUAACUAUUGGAAACGAUAGCUAAUACCGCAUACUACCAGAUGGACCUGCGUUGUAUUAGCUAGUUGGUGAGGUAACGGCUCACCAAGGCAACGAUACAUAGCCGACCGUGUGGGGUGAUCGGCCAAACUGGGCCUGAGACACGGCCCGGACUCCUACGGUAGGAAGCAGUAGGGAGUAUGCGGCAAUGGGGGGAACCCGGACCGAGCAACGCCGCGUGAGUGAAGAGGGUUUUCGGAUCGUAAAGCUCUGUUUUUAAGGAAGCGGUACUUAACCAGAAAGGGACGGCUAACUACGGGCCAGCAGCCGCGGUAAUAC
rnacentral:rRNA from 1 species